CGGCGGACGGGUAAGUAACACGUGGAUAACCUACCUAUAAGACUGGGAUAACUUCGGGAAACCGGAGCUAAUACCGGAUAAUAUAUUGAACCGCAUGGUUCAAUAGUGAAAGACGGUUUUGCUGUCACUUAUAGAUGGAUCCGCGUCGCAUUAGCUAGUUGGUAAGGUAACGGCUUACCAAGGCAACGAUGCGUAGCCGACCUGAGAGGGUGAUCGGCCACACUGGAACUGAGACACGGUCCAG
rnacentral:rRNA from 1 species